rnacentral:rRNA from 1 species
CCUACGGGAGGCAGCAGUGAGGAAUAUUGGUCAAUGGGCGGAAGCCUGAACCAGCCAAGUAGCGUGCAGGAUGACGGCCCUACGGGUUGUAAACUUCUUUUAUACGGGAAUAACGCGCAUUACGUGUAGGGCUUUGCAUGUACCGUAUGAAUAAGGACCGGCUAAUUCCGUGCCAGCAGCCGCGGUAAUACGGAAGGCCCGAGCGUUAUCCGGAUUCAUUGGGCUUAAAGGGAGCGUAGGCGGGCGUUCAAGUCAGCUGUAAAAUCGGGCGGCUCAACCGCGCCCCGCAGUUGAAACUGGAAGCCUUGAGUUCAGAAGAGGUAGGCGGAAUUCGUGGUGUAGCGGUGAAAUGCAUAGAUAUCACGAGGAACCCCGAUUGCGAAGGCAGCCUGCCGGGGUGCGACUGACGCUGAGGCUCGAAGGUGCGGGUAUCAAACAGGAUUAGAUACCCGUGUAGUC